AUUGAACGCUGGCGGCAGGCCUAACACAUGCAAGUCGAACGGUAACAGGAAGCAGCUUGCUGCUUUGCUGAAGAGUGGCGGACGGGUGAGUAAUGUCUGGGAAACUGCCCGAUGGAGGGGGAUAACUACUGGAAACGGUAGCUAAUACCGCAUAACGUCGCAAGACCAAAGAGGGGGACCUUAGGGCCUCUUGCCAUCGGAUGUGCCCAGAUGGGAUUAGCUAGUAGGUGGGGUAACGUCUCACCUAGGCGACGAUCCCUAGCUGGUCUGAGAGGAUGACCAGCCACACUGGAACUGAGACACGGUCCAGACUCCUACGGGAGGCAGCAGUGGGGAAUAUUGCACAAUGGGCGCAAGCCUGAUGCAGCCAUGCCGCGUGUAUGAAGAAGGCCUUCGGGUUGUAAAGUACUUUCAGCGGGGAGGAAGGGAGUAAAGUUAAUACCUUUGCUCAUUGACGUUACCCGCAGAAGAAGCACCGGCUAACUCCGUG
rnacentral:rRNA from 1 species